UAGUUAAAUAUGAAAGGUCUUUAAUUUUAAGACAUCUUUUUCAAAAAUGUUUCCACAAAGACACUUAAGACACAGUGUCUAAAAUUUAAGGACACACAAACAUUAUAAUGUUAUAUACUUUUAUAUAUAUUAAUUUUAUUCGUGGGAAGACCCUCUCUAAUGAUGUGGGAUGGAGAUGACCUAAAUAUCUAUUAUUUUACCACGUAGAACGAUAAAUUUAAGGAGAGAAAGACGAAAUGCAAAAGCACUAACUUUAAUGUUUAGAAUAGGAUAAAUUACUGAAUAGUAUUAUUUUUUCGUAAGAAAAGCAAUUUAGCUAUAUAGCAUAGCGUUGAAGUAAAUAAUUAAUCAAAUGUCACAAUUUUCUCAAAAUGAAAAACCAAAAAGAAAUGGGCUAAAAUUAAAGAGGCAAAAGUAAUCAUAUUAAAAUGUCAUCCAAAAAUUACAUAAACAAACAAAAUCAUCCA
rnacentral:sRNA from 1 species